UGAGUUCUUUCUCAAUCACAGGAGUGUGACAGAGACACCUGUGACAGAGACUGUUCCCUCCCAGUGCUGACUAGCCCCCAGGCCUGUUCCCUUGGGGAUAGUAUAAAGGGCAUCAUCUGCCUGCCCCCAACCUCCAUCAUCACCUUG